UACAGAGGGUGCAAGCGUUGUUCGGAAUCACUGGGCUUAAAGCGUGCGUAGGCGGUUCAGCAAGUUGGGUGUGAGAUGCCUCGGCUCAACCGAGGAAUUGCGCCCAAAACUACUGGGCUUGAGGGAGUUAGAGGUGAGCGGAACUCACGGUGGAGCGGUGAAAUGCGUUGAUAUCGUGAGGAACACCGGAGGCGAAAGCGGCUCACUGGGGCUUCACUGACGCUGAGGCACGAAAGCUAGGGGAGCAAACGGG
rnacentral:rRNA from 1 species